UGCCACUGCACUCCAGCCUGGGUGACAGAGUGAGACCCUAUCUCUAAAAAAGAAAAAAAGAGAAAACAUUUCCAUAUGCCAAAGUCAAUCAACCAAUCUCUAAAAAUCAAAUGAAAGCUUCAUUGUAGAAUCCAAGGAGAGGUGCAACACACAAGGUUUUUAACAUCUGCUUCCUUAAUUCAGACUCAACCAACAUUUCUGAAGGCUUUGAGGCCCUUGCCAUCACAUGCUAAGAGGAGUAAAAUGAAGAAGCUAGCAACUGAAACAUGUACCAAGAAUAUCUGGGGUGUCAGCUUGCUCAUCUAUCUCCUGGGACAUUUUUGUCAGAAUACAGUGGCUGAAGCGUUUAAAAGGAAAGCUACAUCCAGAAAAAACUCCUGGAGUUGGGAUUUCAAAAUCUUAUUUCCAUUUUAUUCAAGUUAUUUCCUCUUUCUGCUGCAGCAAGGCAAAACUGAUGAACAAAGAGCAGCUUAUUAUUAGGAAGUAAGCAUUAAGGAAUUAUAACUUCAGCGAGGAUGCCAUGCCUCCUGGCUUAACUAGAAUGCAGUCUCUCUGACUCUCAACCCUAGCUUACUCAAGAAGCUAGAGAAUCCUGUUACCAAAUCUGUAUGGUUCUGGCUGGACUAUAGGAAACAUAUUGAGGUUUGGGAAUUUGACGGCGCUUUCUGCUGAAUGACAGGUGAAAGAGUGGUUUAUAAAAUUGUAUGAGUUUUUAGAAAAGUUUAUCUACCUCCUACCUAUCAGAAAAUAUGAGUUAAUGUUUGCUAAUAUAAUUCAUUAUGAAACAACAUAAAAUCAUGCCUCAAAAGACACAUAUAAAAACAUAAAUUCCCUCAUCUUUAGAACUUUGUUUUCAAGUUUAUACAUAACAAUGUUAUGAAUUCUGUAGGAGUUUAAUUUUUUCUUUCCUGAAACUGACACAAAUAUUCAUUUAGAAAAUAUUUAUUCCCAUCAUCUCCUAAUGAAUUACAGAUAAUUUAUGGAUAUUAAAAUUUGAAUAAUUUUGAAAUAAUUAGAGCUUUUUUGAAAAGAAAAAUCUCAAUAUCUCUUCUGUACUAGUAAUGGAGUUACUAAGUUGCAGAAAAAUGUCACUAUAAAAACACAAGAAAAACAUUUUUUAUUAACAAAAACCACAUUCCUAAGGAAAUGAAAUCAAGGCAAGGUACUUAACAGCAGAUUCAUCUUGGAGAUUAUAAUCCUAAUGUUUUCACACUCUUACUCAAACAUCUGGCACUCGACUGUAUCACUCACUGGGUCAUUUUUCCUCUUUCAACAAGGACUUACUCAUAAAUGUCCUAUCUUUACACAGAAGUUUACUUAACUAAGAGUAGACAUUUUCAGAUAUCUGUAAUGCAUAAUAUAUUAAUAACAUUUAAAUAAAAUAUAAGCCUUUAUGCUUUCCUAAGAUAUGUGUAAUCAGAAAAUAAUAACACAGUACAAUUUCCUUAAGGCACCUAUCACAAAAAAAGUUGCUGAAAGCUUUGUACACAUGAAUGUUAACACCUCAAAAUUUCAGUAAGAUCUUAAUCAAAACCAGACAUUAUGCUCCACUCUGGGCCUUUUGUUUAACUGAGGUAAAAUGUAUCGUACAAUAUAGUAAGUCUGGAUAAAUGUUUCCCUGAGCCAAGAAAGCUACCCUGUGCUCUCUCCAGCCAAUCCCCGCCCACCACUAGGAAACUACUAUUCUAAUUUCAGUCACAUAGUUUGGUUUUUGCCUUUUCUUGAACUUGAUGUAAAUGAACCAUACAGUAAGCACUUCUUUGUGUCUUUUUUCCCUGAAAGUUUUUAAGAUCUGGGUUGUAUGCAUCAGUAGUUCAUUCUUUUCAUUGCUGAAUAGUAUUCCAUUAUAUGCAUAUACAUAGUUUACCCACAUUAUGAAUAAAGAUGCUAUGAACAUUCAUGUGCACAUAUUUGUGUGGACAUGUGUAUUCAUGUUCCUGGAUAAAUACCUGGGAGUGGAAUUCCUGGGUCAUAGCAAUAGGUAUGUACUAGGUAGGCCUAGGGUAUAUAUACAGUGACUUUAUAGGAAACUGACAAGCUAUUUGCUAAUGUGGUUGUGCCAUUUUAUGCUUCCCA
rnacentral:lncRNA from 1 species